GUCUAUGAGCCCAGCUCCGUUGUCAUGGACAAACCAGCAAGGAAUAUCAACACCAUGGCUGGGAUCUCUUCUGUAAUCCUUCUGCCAGCCCCUGAAAGGGAAACACAGCCAUGGGAGUACCAAGAGAAGUCAACUCCCAAACUGCCUAGGUUAGUGCUAGGAUAAAGAAGUUUUGCUUCUGAUUGUAUUACUGGCAUCAUCCAUGUUCUAGCAUAAUUUAAAAAAAAAAAAACCAAACAAAAAGGCAUGCUGUGUGAAUAAGUUUUGCUCUCUGCUGCAGAGCCAGGCCUUGAGAAGGCAGGAGGAGGAGAUGUUGCCCAUUCCUUUCCUGAACUUCCUUUUGCACAGAAUGAAUUUAAGUGUCUCAACAAAAACUUGAGAAAACUAGACAGAGACAGAGAGACUGAGACUAAUCCCCAGAGGAUAAAGAGAGGAUUUCCUGGGAAAGAGGUUCAAAGAGGAGCCAGGUACCACAAGUACCUGGAAAGGAAAAGCAAAGAGAUGAAGAUGAGUGAGUGGAUGUCUCUUCUGUCAGAUGUUUGGGGUUUUCCAUCUUAUGGAGGCCAGGUGCAAACUUUAAAGUCACUAUGUUGUACAGUGACUUGAAUGUUAAAUUAAACAUGAAGGGUUGUGUCAGUAUUCCAUUAUGAGGGUUAUGAAAAAU